rnacentral:lncRNA from 1 species
ACUUAUAACUACGGGCGUCAACCAGCCAAACACGAACGAGCCGGGAUCGGCUCGUAUUCCGCUUGUUUAAUAAACGAGCCAAACACGAGCCGACUCGUUAAAGUAUUGAGCCGAAAAAUUCAGAUCUUGUUCGGCUCAUUAAUAAACGAGUUGAACACGAACUACCUCACGAGCCGGCCAACGAAUAAUAGGUUAAAUAGGUUAGAUUAGAUAUGUAAAAAAAAUAAAUCUAUAAAAUCUUACCAAUUAGACUUUGAUCAAAUGGUUAAAAUUUUACAUAUAAAUGAGUAUUUUAAUAAUUGAGUUCGGUUUUAUAUUUUUUUAGCUAAAAAUCAAAUAAUAAAAAUAUAUAUAUUACAUAUAUAAUUAUUUAUUUAUAUAUAUAAAUAUAAAUUAUAUAAAUUAUAUAAAUAUAAAAUAUAUGUAUUCGAGCUGUUAUCGAGUCGAACGAGAGCGAAUUGAUCCUAGCUCUCGUGUUCGGCUCAUUUAUUAACGAGCUGAAAAAUUCAGCCCGUGUUCAGCUCGUUUACUAAACGAGUGAUUCGAUUUCGAGCUCAUUUCGAGCGGAUCACUAGUUGGCUCGCUAACAGCGAGCUGGAUUG